rnacentral:rRNA from 1 species
UACAGAGGGUGCGAGCGUUAAUCGGAAUACUGGGCGUAAAGCGCACGUAGUCGGCUUUGCAAGUCGGUUGUGAAAUCCCCGGGCUCAACCUGGGAACUGCAUCCGAGACUGCAUUGCUAGAGUAUGGGAGAGGAAAGCGGAAUUUCUGGUGUAGCAGUGAAAUGCGUAGAUAUCAGAAGGAACAUCAGUGGCGAAGGCGGCUU